rnacentral:rRNA from 1 species
AGAGUUUGAUCAUGGCUCAGGAUGAACGCUAGCGGCAGGCCUAAUACAUGCAAGUCGAACGGUAAGUAGUGUAGCAAUACACUGCCUAGAGUGACGUAAGGGUGCGUAACACGUAUGCAAUCUGCCCAUAACUGGAGGAUAGCUCCCCGAAAGGGGAAUUAACACUCCGUAAUAUAGUUGGAUGGCAUCAUUUGACUAUUAAAACUCCGGUGGUUAUGGAUGAGCAUGCGUCUGAUUAGCUAGUUGGUAGUGUAAUGGACUACCAAGGCGAUGAUCAGUAGGGGAACUGAGAGGUUGAUCCCCCACACUGGCACUGAGAUACGGGCCAGACUCCUACGGGAGGCAGCAGUAGGGAAUAUUGGACAAUGGGUGCAAGCCUGAUCCAGCCAUGCCGCGUGCAGGAAGAAGGCCUUCUGGGUUGUAAACUGCUUUUGCCAGGGGGUAAAAGACCCAUGCGUGGGAAAUUGAAGGUACCUGGUGAAUAAGCCACGGCUAACUACGUGCCAGCAGCCGCGGUAAUACGUAGGUGGCAAGCGUUGUCCGGAUUUAUUGGGUUUAAAGGGUGCGUAGGCGGCCCUGUAAGUCAGUGCUGAAAUAUCCCGGCUUAACCGGGAGGGUGGCAUUGAUACUGCGGGGCUUGAGUAAAGUUGAGGUUGGCGGAAUUGACGGUGUAGCGGUGAAAUGCUUAGAUAUCGUCAAGAACACCUAUUGCGUAGGCAGCUAACUAAGCUUUAACUGACGCUGAGGCACGAAAGUGUGGGGAUCAAACAGGAUUAGAUACCCUGGUAGUCCACACUGUA